GAUAACCUCUCUAUUGAGAUUUAACAUAUAUUGAAGGAAGAAAGGCCUCUCUCUCUUCUCCCUCUCGACAUUGACUAUCACUUAACCCUCCACUUCCGCCCCCAGAGUGCCGAGCAUUGCCAUCAACUCCUCUAGCCACCUCUCCUGUGGAUGCGUGCUUGUGCAAGCGGAUGCGUGUCACAUCUAAGUGCGAUGCAUCGCUCGUCACCAUUGUUGGAGGAAGAUAUCCAUAUCCUCGAUGGUGCCUUGAGCUCUGCGCAGGAGAUCUGUCAAGGGAACGAGAGCUCUGGCCUUGUCCCCAUAGCUCACUCAGCUUGCGGGAUGACUCAAGGGGUUUCC
rnacentral:lncRNA from 1 species